rnacentral:rRNA from 1 species
GCUGUGAACUCGAAGAGUAGGGCGGGACACGUGGUAUCCUGUCUGAAUAUGGGGGGACCAUCCUCCAAGGCUAAAUACUCCUGACUGACCGAUAGUGAACCAGUACCGUGAGGGAAAGGCGAAAAGAACCCCGGCGAGGGGAGUGAAAAAGAACCUGAAACCGUGUACGUACAAGCAGUGGGAGCACCUUCGGGUGUGACUGCGUACCUUUUGUAUAAUGGGUCAGCGACUUAUAUUCUGUAGCAAGGUUAACCGUAUAGGGGAGCCGCAGGGAAACCGAGUCUUAACUGGGCGUUAAGUUGCAGGGUAUAGACCCGAAACCCGGUGAUCUAGCCAUGGGCAGGUUGAAGGUUGGGUAACACUAACUGGAGGACCGAACCGACUAAUGUUGAAAAAUUAGCGGAUGACUUGUGGCUGGGGGUGAAAGGCCAAUCAAACCGGGAGAUAGCUGGUUCUCCCCGAAAGCUAUUUAGGUAGCGCCUCGUGAA